UACAGAGGUCUCAAGCGUUGUUCGGAUUCAUUGGGCGUAAAGGGUGCGUAGGCGGCGCGGUAAGUCGGGUGUGAAAUCUCGGAGCUUAACUCCGAAACUGCAUUCGAUACUGCCGUGCUUGAGGACUGGAGAGGAGACUGGAAUUUACGGUGCAGCGGUGAAAUGCGUAGAUAAUCGUAAGGAAGACCAGUGGCGAAGGCGGGUCUCUGGACAGUUCCUGACGCUGAGGCACGAAGGUCAGGGGAGCAAACGGG
rnacentral:rRNA from 1 species